GCGAUGGGUUCAAGUGUGGACAUGUGACUUCAGCAAGGCUGAUGUGAUGCAAUUUGGGAAUAUUUAUAGCAGAUGUCAAGAAAGAGGAGUUUCUUUUUGUGGUUACAGCAAGCUGGGCACCUGGUCCUGCUCAGUCGGUGAGGUUGAUGAGCUACAGCGGACUGAGGUCACUCGUCAGCCCCCCAACACUGAUGCAACACCUACUGUGUGCUGGCCUCUGUUCUGGGUACAGAAGUGAGAAGUGGGUAUGACAGAUGAGGGCCCUGUUCUUAGGGAACUGACAUCACGAUCUAGCAACUGAGUGAGCAAGAAGACAUCCAAGAGCCACGGGCUGAGGUAGCUGAAAAUAAGACUCCAGAUUUGAUCAUGGGGUUGCAGAAUCCCAGCACAAAUUGAAUGAACAGCCAUGACAGAUGUGUUGCAUAAAUGUUGAGGCACUGAUUGAAAAGGAAAGGAAUACUGAGAAUUGGAACGGGGCAUCUUAUUGAACUCAGAAGAGCUGUCUGAAAACAGCUGGGUCUCCCUGUCUACAGAGACACAUUCUUCCCUUCUUCGAAACCCUGUAGCAACCUCCCAUGAGCAAGUUUCCUUGCAAGAGGGUGCUAUCUUCAGAGCCUGGUAUGCUGCAGGAAACAAGUCCAAAAUUCGACCCAGGAGGAGGUAAUUUAUAUCUUCAUGCCUGGGGAAGGGACAAGCCAUGGCCCAGAACGGAAGAUGAGAAGAUGAACAUCCUUGUGCUAUGGUCUCAGUUGCAGGAUGGCUUUGGGCCAGGGUCUACUUCUCCACCUCUGCCCUGGGGGCAAGUCACAUCACUUGUUUGGCCAAUGGGACAUCAGCAAAUGCGUCACUGGCAGACACUGGAAAAUUACCUGCAUGCUGGAGCUUGCUCCCUCUUGCUACCCUUGAACCCAAGACUGUCCUAGGGAUGAGCCUGGGCUAACCUGCAGCCAGAGAAUAAGAAGCCAAGUGGAGAGUCAAGGUGCAAUGGCCAACAGAACUGCUGCCAUCAAGACAUGGCAGUGAGCCACUCUUGAACUGAUCACAGUUUCCACAUCUUUGCAAUGACUCUCCCAGCUCAAAGCCUCCAUCCCAGCUCCCAGAACUGCUGUGCAGCAUUCCGGAUCAUGAAGGACCAGAGCCAUGUGGUCCAGUGGUGAGGGUCUCAGAGGACGGGCUGUGACCCAAGGCACCCGCCUAGCCGGCAGCUCUAAGUGCCAAGGAGGGAAAGAUGCGGCUGCCCAGUUUUCUCGCUCCUUCCAGACCAGGCCAAGGCCUGUGUACUCCCCGUGACCUCCUCCCAGAAUCUUCUUCAUCCCGCCUCACCCAGACACCAGGCCAAGCGGGGACUUCAGCACACAUGAAGCUGGCCUGGAUGGAAGCUCCCCACCUGUCACUGUCCUGCUGAGCAUCCUGGGCAAGCCCAUCCCUCUUGGGGCCUCAGGCUCCCCAUCUGUGGAGGGAACAGUUUCCACUGAUCCCCACGGAUGACCUAGAAGGAGCUAGCAGUCUGUGAGUUGAUGUGUGAGGACAUGCAGCUUGUGCAUGAAUGUGCACACGUGUGUGCAUGUGCACAUGCCUGGGCAAGAGUGCGUGCGCGCACGCGCGCACACACACACACACACACACACACACACAUAGAUCCUCAGUCAGGGGAAGUCAACUGUCAAGCACAGUAUUUUAAAAUGUGCUUAUUUAUUUGGCUUGUUUGCGCCCUAUCUCCUCGGCUGCCUUUAUAAAUAUUUAUCAAUGUUGUCACAGUGACAUUUCCUGGGAGGAGGUGAGAACUGGAGGGAGAAAGGAUGUCAGAGGGGAGCAGACAGGUUGAGGGAGCAGGGGAGGAUGGCCCAGUCCCAGCAGUGGACCAGGAUGGGGGAGGGCUGACGCCACAGGAGGAGGGAGAGGGCCCUUGACACAGAGACCUGAUUCAGGGGUCCAGAAGCAGGACCCACAUUUCAAGAUGUCCCUAAGGAUGAAAUAAGGAUGAGUGGGGAACAUGACGAGCCACGUGCCUCUGCCACUGCUGUGUGAGCUUGCACAAGGCCCCUCACCAUCCACGGGGUUGUCUAUUAAACACCAACUGUUCUGAGUAUUCACUUCAUUCACUAUUUACAAACGACUCUGUGAUGAAGGCACUGGUCUCCCCAUUUUACAGAUAGGGAAAACAAGGCAUUGGGAUUAGUUACCUGCCCAAGACAGCCAGUUCUGAAGCACAGAGCCCGGAUCUAAACAUAGGCAGCUCGUUGCAGAGCUCCUGCCCUUAACCACUACUCCAUCUGGAUGUAUCAUUUGUAUCUUUAACGAUUAUUCCUUAGAGCCCCCUCCCCCUCCGUACACAGCCGGUCUCAGUCUUGCUCCUGGGGUAACAGAGAUGACCAAGGCAGGCCCUCUACCUGGUUGGCAGAGCUCAGGGUCUUGUGGGGAACCUAAGGACAUGUUAACCUGACAGCGCUGCUGUGUAGUGGGUGUUCAGAGGACAUUUAGGAGGGUGGCUCUGCGGCAGCCCCAGUGGCGCAGCAGUUUAGCGUCUGCCUUCAGCCCAGGGCCUGAUCCUGGAGACCUGGGAUCGAGUCCCACAUCGGGCUCCCUGCAUGGAGCCUGCUUCUCCC